UCGCUUUCGCCUUUUAGGCACACCCGCCUAUUUUGACAUUUCUUUAGGGACAAACACCAAAAAUAUUGGAACGAAAUGAAAUUCAUGUCUUUCUAAUUGUCAGGGUACUAGAAUUGGUUCUAGUAAUCGUCAGUUGUCGGCCUUCGAUAUCACUGUACAAAACUAUUUAAGUUGAACUUUUCUUGGUUUCCCUGUUACUUAUCUGUUCGCCCUCGAUGCAGUUUCUUAUCGGGAGAACAGUUUGUCGGCAGUUUUACUAUCCACUGAGUCGUGGUCUUACGCUGUCAUCCAAAAAAAAGUCGCAAAUGAGUCAACAAGUUAUUACGUUAGCAGUGGAAAAUGCCAACUACUUUCUGAAGGACACUAGUAAGUCUGGUAAAGCACUCUGUGUUGGUUUUCAACAAUUAGCAGAACAAUGCCAGGAAGUUACUCCAUUGUUGGACAAAAUUACACGAGAAGCUCCCAAAUUUGAUCUAGAUGCAGAAACCCCAGGAAAUGGAUAUAGGAGCUUUAUAAUCAUAUUUGGUGCUUUAUUCAAACGAUGCUCAUCUCUCUGUGAUCUGGUUAAAAGUCAGAGAUCCCAAGCUGUGUUCAACCUGUACAAAUAUUCUUACAUUCAAGAUCUCAAGUCCUGGAAUGAAAUGCUUGUGUCACUGAACACUUUUCUGGAACAUCUCAAUACUUUGUUGGAAUGGAAUGAGAAGGACCAUGUUCGUUCCCUGUUUCCAUCUGAAGCUCACUCUUCGCAAGAGUUACUCGAUAAAGCAAGAACCAUUGAAUCAUACAGUUUUUAUGGCCGUCAUGCAGCUUUCCAAUAUUGCAACUCCAUAGAGAGUGUUCUGAAGGGUCUCUUGACAAUCAUGGCAGGCUACAGUGAUUAUUACUUUAGCACGUCUCCUCAUCUCUGGCGCGUUGCUAAGAGCCUUUUCAUGAGCACGCAGUAUACUCUUGAUGCUGAACAUCGCGCAAGACGGAUAGUCCACGCAUCUCAGUAUGCAACCGUGGAUUUUUGCAAAUCAUUUUGGUUUCUAGCUGAAUCGGAUCUGAUGAAAAAAGUACCUGACCGUAUGUGCCCUGCAAUCCGAGUUAAUCAACUCAUUCUCAUCCCACCUGAGCCACUCCAGAUCGACUCCAUGAAAUAUAAACCUGUUAAUAUACCUGUACCCAGCGCUCACGGACCAACAGCGCCUGUUCAAGUUCGUUUGCUGAGUGCCAAAGGCCGACCUGGAAUGCCGGGGCAAAACGAUUAUUCAGAAGCGACUGUCUCUGACAGCUUGGUCAUACACUGCCAUGGGGGAGGAUUUGUUGCCCAGAGCUCUCAAUCGCAUGAAACAUACUUACGGCAUUGGGCUGUUGCUUUAGAUGUUCCCAUACUUUCGAUUGACUACUCACUGGCACCAGAAUAUCCUUUUCCUCGUCAGUUGCAAGAAAUACUUUACGUUUACGCUUGGAUACAGCGUAAUCCAAGCGUAGCUGGCACAACAGCGAAAAAAAUUAUAUUUGCUGGCGAUUCAGCGGGUGCUAAUUUAAUGCUAGGUGUAACUUUAUGGGUUUCGGAUUUGAACUUACGUCUUCCUGACGGUAUCUUUUUGGCUUAUGUUCCAUUGUUGGUCCAGUUUGAACCUUCGCCGUCUCGGCUUCUCUGUCUGUUGGAUCCGUUAUUGCCUUUUGGAUUCAUGAUGCGAUGCCUCAGCGCUUAUGCUGGCCAGCCAGAUAUGUUGGCUCAGUCCAGCAGCAGGUACAGCGAAACUGACGGCAAAGUCAAGGAAAUUGUAAAGAAAAUCGACUCUUCCACGUCGUCGCAGGACGCAAGUGAACACCCUGCUAAACAUAAUACGGUUCUUGAACCUGAACUUCUGGAUCGACUGAAGGCGCAUAGCCCUGUAGACGAGCUGGACAUGUUUCGCGUCUCUAGCACUCCAUUAAUGUCUCCAUUUUUGGCGUCAGACAGUGCCCUUAAGAAACUUCCUCCUAUAAGCCUUCUUACAUUUUCUUUAGUCGAUCGAGCUCGAUCCUUGUCUAGAUGAUUCUGUCGAGUUCGCAAAAAGGUGCCGUCGCUUAGGUUGUGAUAUUCGCCUCGAUAUCCUUCCAGGAUUACCACACGGGUUUCUCAAUUUCGCUUUGCUAAGCCGGGAAGCAAAGGAAGGAUCGAAGCUGUGUGUCAAAAGAAUUCGCGAACUGUUCAAAAAGUGUAGCGAUGCAGCCCUAUAAAGGGAAAUAAGCUGCGAUGCUAGUUGUUUCUAUCUCUUGGUAGUUUGCUUACUUUUUUCUUUCCUACUAGUCCUGAUGUUCGCUUUUUGUAAACUCGACUUACGUGCGUGCCCAAACCGGAAUAUUUUUCGCCAUAAUAACGUGAUAUGGUGUCAAAGGAUGAAACAAUUAAGUUUACAACGACGAAACGGUUCUGAAAAAUUAUAUUUUUUUUUAGUAACCCCCCGUAGAAACCUACAAUAAACAUUAGCGUUCUGGAUUGA
rnacentral:misc_RNA from 1 species